UCGAGCCCACAACCCAGGCAUGUGCCCUGACCGGGAUUCGAACCCUGACCUCCUGGUUCAUAGGUCAAUGCUCAACCACUGAGCCACGCCGGCCGGGCUCCUUUACCGUUUUCCCGUGACGCUGGAAAUGACGCUGGAAACGCCUCUUUAUCGGCGAUGACACAGUGGUAAGCGCGUGCCCUUGUCUGUGUUGCGUGGACUAACUUGUGGCCCCGGAAUUACCAGGAUAAAAGAGAUGCUCAUUUUCACGGUUUCAAUAACAAACGGUUCUGAAACCCUGGGCCCAUUUGCCCUCCCACCUGCAGGGGACGGUGUGCUGGUUGCUUUUUGCUCCCCUCCUUCAAGGUAUGAGCCUCUUGGGGACAGGGACGGUGACGUUCGUCCAUGCAUCCUCAAUGUCUCAACAAGUGCUCAGCAGAAGCAGGUUGAGUUGAUUAAGGCUUUGCAAUACAUUGCUAAGUAGGUACAGGGGACAGAGAAAUGAGCCACUCAGGCCCUCAAGAAACUUAGUUUAGUUUUGUUUGAAAGGUAACUGGCAAUUCGAGUCUAAGGACCCGCUGUGCCCUAAGUCCUGCAGGAGUGGGGGGUUGGGGGCACAUGGGUAGAAUGGCCUGGCAGAGCCAGGUCUGGAGGCCCAAGGGUCCUCCCAUCCGUGGCCAAGCAGAGGAAUGGCCUUCUAGGCGGCGGCAGCUCAAGCACAGGCGUGGUGACGGGUGGGUGAGGCCAGUGUGCGAGGUGGCUAGAAUGGAGGUUGUUUGUGCAGAGACUCCGUGGAGGAUCUGAUGAGCAAGAAAGGCAGGGUCCACAGGCCGAGGAGUUGAAACUCUGCCCUGCAGGCAGCCAGGGGCUGCCGGGCGGGUGUGAGGGUGUCGGGAGGAAAGGCUGCUCUGAGCUGGGCGGCAUCCCAGCGGGGCGCCUGUCACAGCUGUACGGCCCCAAGCUGCACAGCGGCUGCACCCUCCAGGGGCCGAAGCCAGAUUCCCCAGGGGUGAGGAAGAGGAAGGGAGUGGGAGGUGGGAGGAGCACAGCCCCAGGCCCAGAGGACCGGUGGGCGGUUUGUACCUGAGUAAUCCCUUAUUCACCCCUGUUGACAGGUGUGCGGGAGCCCCUUCACUGUGGCUCUUGAGAACGGAUUUUCUCAGGUCCGUACCUUGAACUUGGCCAUGGAGGGGUUUUUAUGCAGCAGAAACUGACGAACACUGUGCUUCAGGACUCCCCACCCCCCAGGGCCAGCCCAGCACACCAUCGUCCGUUUCCUUCCGGAAGCAGGGGAGAUGCAGUUACUAGAUUUGGAGAAGGGCAGGAAGGGAGAUCCUUGUCAGGGAGGCCAAAUGGGACCAGAGGAAGAUGAGUGUGAGGCGCCCUCCGUAGGAGGUUCCGUUUCCUAAGGGCCACGCUGGCGCUUCACCGGCACUGCCCGUGGGGCCGAGCGCAGUGGUUACAGCACUGACUGCAGACGGACAGCUGGGCUCGCGUCCUGGCUCUGCUGUUUACCAGCUGUGUGACCCUGGCACGUCACCUGGCCUCUCUGUGCCUCGUGUCUGCCAUGUGUAAAGUAGAGGACAUUAUUGACACAUCUCAUAGGGUUCUUAGGAGGAUUAAAUGAGUUCCAUGUACAUAAAGCGCUUGGGGCGAUCUGGGCAGGUAAUGCGCACUCUGUCAGCACUUGUUAACUGUGUGAAAUAGAAGGGAGGCAGGGCCGUACCUGCGGGCACACAGCAACUGCGGGCAGAGCUGGAGUCGCAGCCCACGCCUCGGCCGUGGCAGGCAGUCCUGCGAGUCUGGUCUGGGUCUCUGUGACCCUGACAAGGGCUGGGGCUCCACAGGAUGAUCCCUGAGUCCUGGUGCUGACUGUUUACAUAGGAGGGGAGGAGCAGGCCGACCCAGCGACCCGUUCCUGCUGUUCCGCAGGCACGAGCUGGGACUGCUCCAGGCAUGAAGGCCUGGCUUCGUGCCAGGAUGUGGAAGCCACACAGGCAGACGGCUCCCAGGCCGGGCCUCCAGGAGUGAGGGCAGAGCAGAGAAGAACCGAAACCCUCCAGUCCAGCCAAAUAGAGACCGCACGGCCCAGACAGUCCCCGGGACCUGAUUCUAAGCUUCGUCCCUACUGCUCCUCAGCCUCACCAUCUAGGACUGGGUCUUCAAACCACACCCCUCCCACCCCCCACCUUAUACCCACAA